rnacentral:rRNA from 1 species
UACGUAGGUGACAAGCGUUGUCCGGAUUUACUGGGCGUAAAGAGCGCGCAGGCGGUCGAUCAAGUCGAGUGUGAAAGCCCCCGGCUCAACUGGGGAGGGUCAUUCGAUACUGAUCGACUCGAAGGCAGGAGAGGGAAGUGGAAUUUCCGGUGUAGCGGUGAAAUGCGUAGAUAUCGGAAGGAACAUCAGUGGCGAAAGCGACUUCCUGGACCAAUACUGACGCUCAUGUGCGAAAGCGUGGGGAGCAAACAGG